AUGAACGCUGGCGGCGUGCCUAAUACAUGCAAGUCGAGCGAACAGACGAGGAGCUUGCUCCUCUGACGUUAGCGGCGGACGGGUGAGUAACACGUGGAUAACCUACCUAUAAGACUGGGAUAACUUCGGGAAACCGGAGCUAAUACCGGAUAAUAUAUUGAACCGCAUGGUUCAAUAGUGAAAGACGGUUUUGCUGUCACUUAUAGAUGGAUCCGCGCCGCAUUAGCUAGUUGGUAAGGUAACGGCUUACCAAGGCAACGAUGCGUAGCCGACCUGAGAGGGUGAUCGGCCACACUGGAACUGAGACACGGUCCAGACUCCUGCGGGAGGCAGCAGUAGGGAAUCUUCCGCAAUGGGCGAAAGCCUGACGGAGCAACGCCGCGUGAGUGAUGAAGGUCUUCGGAUCGUAAAACUCUGUUAUUAGGGAAGAACAAAUGUGUAAGUAACUAUGCACGUCUUGACGGUACCUAAUCAGAAAGCCACGGCUAACUACGUG
rnacentral:rRNA from 1 species